AUCUUUUUCUGUUGGCGACCUUCGUAUGAUACCGGAGACCACAAAACAAAAUCGGCCAGAAGUUAUUGCCAGUCAACAAAGGAAAGGAAAACAAGGGGAGAAAUAUAAACACAGACGCAAUUAUCUAUGGGCCCUUUCCUUUCCGGUUCGCACUUUCGGAAAUUUACUUAAUUUAAACUAGUCGGAGCACAAUGGGAAGUCUGCGUCUGACUGUGCCGUUUACUCAGGCGAGGACGCACGAAAUGGAACAGACUCACUCGGGUGAAAUGGGCGUGGUCUUGCCCGUGGCUGCCUCUUCGUCGUGUGAGUCCCGUCCGUGAUGGCUCAUCUCUCCGUCGUGUGGAUUACGCCGACACUUGGCCGCGCUUUGAAAAUCCGGCCCGUGAAUAUCGGGGUUGAUCUGGCCAGCGUCCUCCGGCGCGGGAACCAAACGUGGUGUGCCACAGGAUGGCUGCGGCUGCUCUAAUAGAGUAUCGCUUUUAUAGUAGUUUUAAAUGACGACAGUGUGUUUCGGGUGUAUUAUUGUU